AUAGCUCGAUUGAUUUACUUUGCUGUGAGA
rnacentral:rRNA from 1 species